rnacentral:lncRNA from 1 species
AAAAAAGUGGCACCGCUUUUAUUUCUUGGGGUUCCAUGUGUCUUAGAGGAGUCUGUAAGAACACAGGUUUGCCAAAUCCCUGAUUUAAUAAAAAUAACCAAGGCACCAGCUGUGGCUAAGUUGCUGGUACCAGAUGUUUCCUCCCCCACUUUCCCAGGAGUCAUGAUGGAGAAAUGGGAGAAAGGUGCCACUUCCUACAGGAUGAGGCCUCAGCAAGUCCCGUACCCAGUGUUCAGGGCACUUCCUAUCCCAGCCUCAGCUGAACCCCUCAGUCUCAGCCACACUCAGGCUGCCUUACCCCACCCCCCGUCACCACUUGGCUCUACCUCAGAUUUGCCACCUGGACCUCUGGAAGCUGGCUGAGACCCCGAGGGCAGCUAGGUAAAGUCAGCCGCCAAUCCAGAAGUGAACAGGGGUCUCCUGGCCUUGGCACAGGGGGUGGUGGCCUGGGAAGCAGGAAGGACAGACGGGCAUGUCUCCAGGUCAAGGAUGAAGGGGCUUCCUGAAGCUGGGAGGAGGCUGGGCACUCGGUGGUGGUAGUGGGGACUGCCCUUCUGGGGUCAACGGGAUGGCAUUUUCAGGGAAGGGGCUGGGAGCAAAGCCAGUUCCUCCUCUGCAUCUGUGUCUGUGUCCGUGUCUGCAGGACCAGCCCUGGCACAAGGAGGUGACGCCUACAUUUGCUGAAACCAGCGAACAACUCUGAGGGCUUCCUGCGAGUCCUGAAUCCCACCUCCCUCACCCCCUGCCACGUAGGCAGCCACUGAGAGAGGCCACUGGUCUGUGGGUGGAGGAGUGGCCUCCUCGGGCAGCUGGGAUGGGAGCACUGGUCCUGGAGGACCAGAGGGGGUUGGGGGCCAGGGCCGGAAAGUCUGCUCCCUUAUCCUGGGCCUCCUCGCCACAGGAAAGGCCCCUCCCCCACGUGCCUCGCUCCCAGCUGACAGCUCUUCCUGAAAACCAACAGGGUGACCCACAGAGCCCAGCGGCACACAGUGUCCAUCUGGGGCGCUUUCCCGUCGUCAUCGCAGACCCUCACCACAGCCCCGUGAGGAGGCAGAGGCUGCUCUCCCCAGAGAAACCCCGCGGCAGGGCGUGACAUCUCAGGCAGCUGGCCCUCUGCUCCUGCGCUUCCGGCCCCUGGCACAGGCAGAGACAUCUCCCUGAAGAAGCAUCUGUCCUGGGAACCAGGGGUCACUAGCUGACGACACCCCACCCCCACCCCCAGUUUCCAGCAGCCUCCAGGGUUAGGAGGACGCCGGGGCUGAGGCCUGGGUCACUGGGGCCUUGGCCUGGCCUGGCCUCCUGGGGAGCACACGCUGCCCCUGCCCCGGGGCUGGGAAAGCCCAUCCCCAGAGCCCAGUGGCCCCUCCAGGGUAUCGCCCGCACCCACCACACCAUCAUGUGCAGGCACAGCAGACACGGACACGCCCACCGGCCCCAUCCAGAAUGCUCCACUGCUAUCUGCAGGCCCGCAGCCCCCAGGUCCAC